rnacentral:rRNA from 1 species
UACGUAGGGGGCAAGCGUUAUCCGGAUUUACUGGGUGUAAAGGGAGCGUAGACGGCCAGACAAGUCUGAAGUGAAAAUCCAGCGCUUAACGUUGGAAGUGCUUUGGAAACUGCCGGGCUAGAGUGCAGGAGGGGCAGGCGGAAUUCCUAGUGUAGCGGUGAAAUGCGUAGAUAUACGGAGGAACACCAGUGGCGAAGGCGGAUUGCUGGACAGUAACUGACGCUGAGGCGCGAAAGCGUGGGGAGCAAACAGG